CUUGAUUGAUUCUCUUAGCCAUUUUCAUUCUUGUUGAAUUUUCCCUAAUUAGAACGGGAGUCUCCAUUUCCCAUCUAGGAUUUUGACUUGACUCCUCAAAUGAACAAUAAUGAUCGAAGAAAAAAACAUGGUCAUAAAGAAGAUCAUGACUCUUCAAAGAUGAUUAAAUUCCCUUGAUUUUGUCAAAUCUGAGCUCUAAUGGUGGCCUCCACGUCCAGCGCCCCCCCCCCCCCCCCUCUCUCUCUCUUUCUCUCUCUCCAUAUAUAUAUAUAUAUAUAUUGCUUCCUAAAAAACACAUACAUUACGCAGAGAUAGAAAGAAAUAUUGCAGCGAAUCGCUGGUUUUCCAGUUGCUUACCUAAUUCCGAUCGUCGGCGGUGUCCGGUUGGUCUCUCCGGCCUUCUUAUAUAUCGAUCACAGAUCAUAUUUGUGGAAGAAAGAAAUGGAUACGAGCGAGAAAACUAACACGAUGUUGAAACAUAGUAGCUUGAUAAAGAAGUCGUGGUCGACGGAUUCGUUAUCGUCCAGCGCGAGUCACAAUUACUUCGGAAAAACAUGCGUUUGUUCUCCGUCAAAACACGAAGGAUCGUUUCGAUGCCGGCUGCACAGAGCCUCUGUGAAGCACGAGCCCAGUGCUCCAAUGGAGCCACAGUCCAAGCCAUCAACCCUAAGUCGGAGGGAUGAAGAAAAGAAGUGAAGAAUAAUGCUCGGUGAAGUUGUGAUUUGAGUUCUGUUGUCUUGUCGUUGAAAGUAUUGAAAUCAAAGGUAUUCUUGAAUGAAUUUGAUGAUCA